rnacentral:lncRNA from 12 species
AUCUGCUUUUGCAGUUGUUGGGAGAUACAGAAACAGGAAGCCAAAUAGUCUAAGGGAGUUUUGUUUCGUUUCCUGGGAGAAGAACUACCUAGAAACUGGUCCUUUUUACCACCCAGUUUACAGAGUUUCCUGAGAUUAGUAAUAUCUUGCGUUUGAAUGAUGCUUCAAAAUUUUUUCUUAAAGGUCUGUGUUAUAUUUUGGCUCAUUUUAACACCUAUUUUAUAAUAAAACUAAAGCUCAGAGAGGCAAAAACUUGCCCAAUUGUUACAUUCAGUAAAUGUGACCUCAUAUUUGGGUAUCUAGGCUUUCCAAUUCCACAAGCUGUCUUCACAGACAGAAGACAAAGGACUACCCCACCGAGAGGAGGAAAGACAAGCAACUGGGCCAAAAGGGAAAAUGAGCUGCUUGGUCCGGCUGGAGUAGGACAGUAUUCCCAACACUCCUGAGGAGUGGAUGUGUCACCCUGUUGGUACAUAAGAGAAAGCUGCUCAACAUCCCAUGGAUACCUUGGUCUCUUUCCAUGUAUGCUUCCUGCUACUGAGAAGAUCUUGCCUGUGAAAAGAUAUAAUAAACUCUCUGCUUGGUCACCA